GAGCAGCAAGAGGGAGGAAUAAGCCAGAAUGACUCCUUCUGGAUUCUAAUCACACACAAUGAGCUUUAUUCAGUCCCAAAGGGACACAUUCACGGCUAUGUUCUUUGCAGAUGAGAUGCUCUAAGAAGUAGAGUGCCUACUAUGUGCCAGGUCCAGUGAUCCAACCUAGGAGUGAACGAAAGAGACCGGGUCUUUACAUUCACAGAGCCAACUUCCUACAAGGGACCAUACACAGGAAAGUGCCAGGAGAUAAGUGCAAGCCAGGCUCCCCUGUCCAAUUCUGCCUGCCUCCCAGUCAGGGACAAGGCUGCCCGUCUGCUGGGGAAUCUGCGCUUACUGGAGACCACGACGCAGCCCGUUUAGGGGGCUCAAUCAAAGACACACUAAUUUGCAGAUUCAUAGACUGCCAGCUUCAGACCAGUCAUUACACAAUGAAGAAACCAAGACAAGCCAGGAGCAUGCCUGCAAUCCCAGUGGCUAGGGAGGCUGUGGCAGGAGGAUCACGAGUUCAAAGCAGCCUCAGCAAAAGUGAGGUGCUAAGCAACUUGGUGAGAUCCUGUCUCUAAAUCUUUAAAUAAAAUACAAAAUAGGACUGGGAAUGUGACUCAGUGGUCGAGUGCCCCUGAGUUCAGUCCCUAGUACCCCCACAAAAGAAAGCAAGACAAGGUCAUACAUAGAGGGAGAGCCUGCCUGAUAGUUCAGAGGGAUGUCCUGACCAUUGUGUUGUGCACGUCUCACACACACACACACACACACACACACACACACUCGCCUGCACUAGUCCACACAUUUCUACCCUCUUGACUGAUUCAUUAAACAUCUGAGGGGCAUUUGCCUGUGUCCACACUUUAUUAGGCUCUGGGAUACAAAGCUAGUUAGACAGGCAUGUCCCUGUCCUCGAAGAGCUUAUGACAUCAUAGGGAAGACAGACAAGUUAAUCAUGAUGCUAGCCCAAUGUCACAAUGCGAGGAGAAGGAUGUAUGCAGGGUCCUUUGUAAGUGCAAAGGAGGGGCCUCUAAAUCCAACUGGAGGGGGAUCAGAGGCUCUGCCGGGGGUGGAGGCACAGGUGGAUCCUGAGCCGUGAGGGAGUUAUGAGAAAGUGCUGGCUGGAUUAAAAGUAGCUGGGAGAUGAGGCUGGAGCUGUGGUCCCAUCACGGGCCUUCUAGGUUAAUCCAGCUGACUCCGGAAAGCAAUGGGGAAACAAUGAAGGAUGUGAAGCAGAGGAUGGGUAUGAUCCAAUAGUCAUAUUUGAAAGAUCACCCUGAAAACACCGAGAGCGGAUGGGAUGGGGAUGAAGUCAACCAGUUAGUAGGCUAUUGCACCUGUCCAGGCAGGAAAUGAUGAGGCUUGAACCGUGGCAAUGGGGCUGGAAA